rnacentral:pre_miRNA from 1 species
AUUUUAGUAUAAGUAUGUCCCAUGCAAUAUUUAGAACAUACUUAUAACUAAAA